UGCAGUAUAUAUGGAAUGUACCAGCUCAAGUUGUUAAUAUUAGUUGGUAUCAGAUAUCAAGUGAUAGUGUUACAAUAUGGUGGAAUAACACUGAGAACUCAGUACAACGUCCUCCUACACAGAAUUACAUUUUAAAUGUAUUCAAUGCACCAAAUAGCUACAAUACAACUUAUACAGUCACUCUUGAUUAUACUAAUGUCACUAUUGGUGAAUUACUCACUGAUACAAACUACACUGUUACUAUCAUACCUGGUAAUGUUAUUGGAUAUGGGCCACCAGUCACUGUUAAUGUUAGUAUAUCUAGUACAAUGAGUAGUAGUUCAUCAA